rnacentral:rRNA from 1 species
CCUACGGGCGGCAGCAGUCGAGAAUCAUUCACAAUGGGGGAAACCCUGAUGGUGCGACGCCGCGUGGGGGAAUGAAGGUCUUCGGAUUGUAAACCUCUGUCAUGAGGGAGCAAAUUAAAAAGAUAGUACCAUAAGAGGAAGAGACGGCUAACUCUGUGCCAGCAGCCGCGGUAAUACAGCGGUCUCAAGCGUUGUUCGGAAUCACUGGGCGUAAAGCGUGCGUAGGCUGUUUCGUAAGGCGGGUGUGAAAGGCGCGGGCUCAACCCGAGAACGGCACAUGAUACUGCGAGACUAGAGUAAAGGAGGGGGAGGCGGAAUUCUCGGUGUAGCAGUGAAAUGCGUAGAUAUCGAGAGGAACACUCGUGGCGAAGGCGGGUUCCUGGACAUUAACUGACGCUGAGGCACGAAGGCCAGGGGAGCGAAAGGGAUUAGAUACCCUUGUAGUC